AACGGCGAGUGAAGCGGUAAAAGCUCAAAUUUGAAAUCUGGUACUUUCAGUGCCCGAGUUGUAAUUUGUAGAAUUUGUCUUUGAUUAGGUCCUUGUCUAUGUUCCUUGGAACAGGACGUCAUAGAGGGUGAGAAUCCCGUUUGGCGAGGAUACCUUUUCUCUGUAAGACUUUUUCGAAGAGUCGAGUUGUUUGGGAAUGCAGCUCAAAGUGGGUGGUAAAUUCCAUCUAAAGCUAAAUAUUGGCGAGAGACCGAUAGCGAACAAGUACAGUGAUGGAAAGAUGAAAAGAACUUUGAAAAGAGAGUGAAAAAGUACGUGAAAUUGUUGAAAGGGAAGGGCAUUUGAUCAGACAUGGUGUUUUUUGCAUGCACUCGCCUCUCGUGGGCUUGGGCCUCUCAAAAAUUUCACUGGGCCAACAUCAAUUCUGGCAGCAGGAUAAAUCAUUAAGAAUGUAGCUACU
rnacentral:rRNA from 1 species